GAUGAACGCUGGCGGCGUGCCUAAUACAUGCAAGUCGAGCGAACGGACGAGAAGCUUGCUUCUCUGAUGUUAGCGGCGGACGGGUGAGUAACACGUGGAUAACCUACCUAUAAGACUGGGAUAACUUCGGGAAACCGGAGCUAAUACCGGAUAAUAUUUUGAACCGCAUGGUUCAAAAGUGAAAGACGGUCUUGCUGUCACUUAUAGAUGGAUCCGCGCUGCAUUAGCUAGUUGGUAAGGUAACGGCUUACCAAGGCAACGAUGCAUAGCCGACCUGAGAGGGUGAUCGGCCACACUGGAACUGAGACACGGUCCAGACUCCUACGGGAGGCAGCAGUAGGGAAUCUUCCGCAAUGGGCGAAAGCCUGACGGAGCAACGCCGCGUGAGUGAUGAAGGUCUUCGGAUCGUAAAACUCUGUUAUUAGGGAAGAACAUAUGUGUAAGUAACUGUGCACAUCUUGACGGUACCUAAUCAGAAAGCCACGGCUAACUACGUGCCAGCAGCCGCGGUAAUACGUAGGUGGCAAGCGUUAUCCGGAAUUAUGNNGCGUAAGCGCGCGUNAGCGGUUUUUUAGUCUGAUGUGAAAGCCCACGGCUCAACCGUGGAGGGUCAUUGGAAACUGGAAAACUUGAGUGCAGAAGAGGAAAGUGGAAUUCCAUGUGUAGCGGUGAAAUGCGCAGAGAUAUGGAGGAACACCAGUGGCGAAGGCGACUUUCUGGUCUGUAACUGACGCUGAUGUGCGAAAGCGUGGGGAUCAAACAGGAUUAGAUACCCUGGUAGUCCACGCCGUAAACGAUGAGUGCUAAGUGUUAGGGGGUUUCCGCCCCUUAGUGCUGCAGCUAACGCAUUAAGCACUCCGCCUGGGGAGUACGACCGCAAGGUUGAAACUCAAAGGAAUUGACGGGGACCCGCACAAGCGGUGGAGCAUGUGGUUUAAUUCGAAGCAACGCGAAGAACCUUACCAAAUCUUGACAUCCUUUGACAACUCUAGAGAUAGAGCUUUCCCCUUCGGGGGACAAAGUGACAGGUGGUGCAUGGUUGUCGUCAGCUCGUGUCGUGAGAUGUUGGGUUAAGUCCCGCAACGAGCGCAACCCUUAAGCUUAGUUGCCAUCAUUAAGUUGGGCACUCUAAGUUGACUGCCGGUGACAAACCGGAGGAAGGUGGGGAUGACGUCAAAUCAUCAUGCCCCUUAUGAUUUGGGCUACACACGUGCUACAAUGGACAAUACAAAGGGCAGCGAAACCGCGAGGUCAAGCAAAUCCCAUAAAGUUGUUCUCAGUUCGGAUUGUAGUCUGCAACUCGACUACAUGAAGCUGGAAUCGCUAGUAAUCGUAGAUCAGCAUGCUACGGUGAAUACGUUCCCGGGUCU
rnacentral:rRNA from 1 species